rnacentral:lncRNA from 10 species
ACCCGGGACGCCCGUAGCCUGGCGGAGAGCGCCAGAGAGGGCCCCUGAAAAACCGGACCAGGGAAGAGGGUACCUCGGGGCGGAUGAGGGGACAGCUGCUAAGGGCCGAGGCUGCUGGGAAGCCUCAGUAGCGGCCGUGAAUACAGUGGAGCUCCGGCGCUGCUUAUUUCGGCCUAACUCUUGGUUUCCUCAUCUGAACAACCCCAGGCUCCCAUGGUUCGUUCAUCAGACGCUACUGAUCGCCAACCUCCUGGCACCCCAUCUUUACCCUAAGGCAGCAGUUCUCAUAAAGUGUGGUCUAGGGACCUCUGGAAAUCCCGAUGACCUCAGAACAAUUUUCAUAAUAAUACGGACACCUUGUCUGUCUUUCUCACGUUCCUUCUCUCACUAGUAUACCGUUUCCUGGAGGAUACGCUUUGUGUACGACGUCAUCACUGGCAGCUAAGGGAGCUUGCGUUUGUUGUUUUUAAACAUUUCUCAGUUUUCAUUUCAAUGCAGUAGUGAUAGGUGUAACCCACAUAAACAUAAGCUCUUUGGAGGUCACAGUAAUUCUUU